rnacentral:rRNA from 1 species
GACGAACGCUGGCGGCGUGCUUAACACAUGCAAGUCGAACGAUGAAGGAGAGCUUGCUCUCCGGAUUAGUGGCGAACGGGUGAGUAACACGUGACUAACCUGCCCCUUUCUCUGGGAUAACGCUCCGAAAGGAGUGCUAAUACCGGAUACGAACUCUAAACACAUGUUCGGAGUUGGAAAGUUUUUCGGAAAGGGAUGGAGUCGCGGCCUAUCAGCUUGUUGGUGAGGUAACGGCUCACCAAGGCGACGACGGGUAGCCGGCCUGAGAGGGCGACCGGCCACACUGGGACUGAGACACGGCCCAGACUCCUACGGGAGGCAGCAGUGGGGAAUAUUGCACAAUGGGCGAAAGCCUGAUGCAGCGACGCCGCGUGAGGGAUGAAGGUCUUCGGAUUGUAAACCUCUUUCAGUAGGGACGGAGCGAAAGUGACGGUACCUAAAGAAGAAGCACCGGCUAACUACGUGCCAGCAGCCGCGGUAA